AGGGAGUUCAACUUUAGAUUCUUCGACGUUGCUUUGGUGGUUUUAUUUGUGAUACUUCAGCUUCUGUUGUAGAAACGGACAACACCUUGUGAAAGCAACAAGAAAAAAUAUCUUUUAAAUGUUGAGCUAUCCUGGGAACAAAUCUGGAGACACAAGUCCUAACAUUAGGGACCCGGCUUUCUCUUUCUGAAGUCCGAGACUCCUUAGAAUCAGAAGAUUUGUCCAAAUGCUGGUUGUGAAAACAAGUAUUUUAAAUUUUGAGAGUUCAGAGGAUUGGAAAAAACUGCUCUACCCUAUCUAGAUGUGGCCAAGUGCAUCUGCCCAUUUGCUCCAAAAAGAACAUCUCUGCACUUCUGGAUCUCCUGAAUUGCUCUUGAUAAGUCAGAAAAUGUAUUAGACCAUAAAACAUGCCAUAGUGUAUUACUCUACUGCUAGGGUGCUCUCUUAGAUGGCACAAUUGCAAGUGCUGUGAAAAGAAACAUUGAAUUAAUUUACACAUUACUUGCUGUUGCUGAAGGAAGUUUGUAGAACAACAGCUGGUCCUGGAAAUCAACAAAAAAUGUUAAUUUUCACUGCUAACUCUUCAGUUGUUAUCAUUUCAUGAAUAUAGUACUUGAGCUGAGCG